UGGCUUGCGUCUGAUUAGCUAGUUGGUAGGGUAAUGGCCUACCAAGGCGAUGAUCAGUAGCUGGUCUGAGAGGAUGGUCAGCCAGAUGGGGACUGGGACACGGCCCCAACUCCUACGGGAGGCAGCAGCAAGGAAUUUUGGGCAAUGAGCGAAAGCUUGACCCAGCGACACCGCGUGAGGGAAUAAGGCCUUCGGGUUGUAAACCUCUUUUCUUGGGGAAGUGACGGUACCCAAGGAAUAAGCCUCGGCCAACUACGUGCCAGCAGCCGCGGUAAUACGUAGGAGGCAAACGUUAUUCGGAUUUACUGGGCGUAAAGGGAGCGUAGGCGGUUCCUUAAGUCGGAUGUGAAAUCUUCUGGCUCAACCAGAAGGCGCCAUUUGAUACUGAGGGACUUGAGAGCAGCAGAGGGAAAUGGAAUCUCCAGUGUAGCGGUGAAAUGCGUAGAU
rnacentral:rRNA from 1 species